UGCGGCUGGCCCUGGAUGCCAUGAGGGUGAGUGGGUGUAGGGUGCUGGUGACUCACCUGCUGCAGACACCCUCCUGGUGGGGACUGAUCCUCUAGCCGGGGUUAGGUAGGAGCCUGGGUCGGCUGUUGGGGGGCCAGGUUCACCCCUGCCCCCUCCCCAGGACCUGGCUCAGUGCGUGAACGAGGUCAAGCGAGACAACGAGACACUGCGGCAGAUCACCAAUUUCCAGCUGUCCAUUGAGAACCUGGACCAGUCUUUGGCUCACUAUGGCCGGCCCAAGAUAGACGGGGAGCUCAAGAUCACCUCGGUGGAACGGCGCUCCAAGAUGGACAGCUUCCAGAUUCGGGAUGACUCUUCAGGAGACCGAGACAACAAGAAGUGGAGCCACAUGUUCCUCCUGAUCGAGGACCAAGGUGCCCAGGGCUAUGAGCUGUUCUUCAAGACAAGAGAAUUGAAGAAGAAGUGGAUGGAGCAGUUUGAGAUGGCCAUCUCCAACAUCUACCCGGAGAAUGCCACUGCCAAUGGGCAUGACUUCCAGAUGUUCUCCUUUGAGGAGACCACAUCCUGCAAAGCCUGUCAGAUGCUGCUUAGAGGUACCUUCUAUCAGGGCUACCGCUGCCAUCGGUGCCGGGCACCUGCACACAAGGAGUGUCUGGGGAGGGUCCCUCCAUGUGGCCGACUUGGGCAAG
rnacentral:sRNA from 1 species